rnacentral:rRNA from 1 species
GCCACCAGCCAUAUCACCCUGCAACUCCCAGCUGGCAGCCCACUGGAGCUCAGCAGGUGUGAGCCUGGUCAGUACCUGGAUGGGAGACUCCUGGGAAAAACUAAGGUUGCUGCUGGAA